rnacentral:lncRNA from 1 species
GUUCUCUCUUAUGCAUGAAAAAUUGGGAAGAAAGGGUUCUUCUCUUGAUCUCUAUUGUAGAGAUCUGAUGCGUGGAUCUAAGAAGAAAAGGAGAGGGUCUCCUUAUUCUUCAUUUUCUUCAUGAUUCUUCUUAGUUCAAUCAAAGCAUGGUGUCCUUGCGAGCUAGCACUCCUGAGGAGAUCGAUCAGCACAAGGACUUUGUGUGGAUCCCCAUAG